UACGUAGGUGGCAAGCGUUGUCCGGAGUUACUGGGUGUAAAGGGCGUGUAGGCGGGUUAUUAAGUCAGAUGUGAAAUUCCAUGGCUCAACUGUGGCGCUGCAUCUGAAACUGAUGAUCUUGAGUGAUGGAGAGGAAAGUGGAAUUCCUAGUGUAGCGGUGAAAUGCGUAGAUAUUAGGAGGAACACCAGUGGCGAAGGCGACUUUCUGGACAUUAACUGACGCUGAGGCGCGAAAGCGUGGGGAGCAAACAGG
rnacentral:rRNA from 1 species